UGGGCUCUGGAUAGUCAACAAAGGGA
rnacentral:piRNA from 1 species